rnacentral:rRNA from 1 species
GAUGAACGCUGGCGGCGUGCCUAAUACAUGCAAGUCGAGCGAACAGACGAGGAGCUUGCUCCUCUGACGUUAGCGGCGGACGGGUGAGUAACACGUGGAUAACCUACCUAUAAGACUGGGAUAACUUCGGGAAACCGGAGCUAAUACCGGAUAAUAUAUUGAACCGCAUGGUUCAAUAGUGAAAGACGGUUUUGCUGUCACUUAAAGAUGGAUCCGCGCCGCAUUAGCUAGUUGGUAAGGUAACGGCUUACCAAGGCGACGAUGCGUAGCCGACCUGAGAGGGUGAUCUGCCACACUGGAACUGAGACACGGUCCAGACUCCUACGGGAGGCAGCAGUAGGGAAUCUUCCGCAAUGGGCGAAAGCCUGACGGAGCAACGCCGCGUGAGUGAUGAAGGUCUUCGGAUCGUAAAACUCUGUUAUUAGGGAAGAACAAAUGUGUAAGUAACUAUGCACGUCUUGACGGUACCUAAUCAGAAAGCCACGGCUAGCUACGUG